CGGGCAGUAGCGCAGGGGGAGCGCGCCUCGUUCGGGACGAGGAGGCCGUGGGUUCAAAUCCCACCUGCCCGA
rfam:Treponema lecithinolyticum ATCC 700332 genomic scaffold Scaffold48, whole genome shotgun sequence.